AGUGAACGCUGGCGGUAGGCCUAACACAUGCAAGUCGAACGGCAGCACAGUAAGAGCUUGCUCUUACGGGUGGCGAGUGGCGGACGGGUGAGGAAUACAUCGGAAUCUACUUUUUCGUGGGGGAUAACGUAGGAAAAUUACCGCUAAUCCCCAAUACACCCUCCGGGUAAAACAGGGGAUUUUUGGACCUUGCCGCGUUUAAUUGACCCGUUGCGGAUUUGUCUGUUGGGGGGGGAAAGGCCCCCCAAGGCCGACGUCCGUAAGGUGGUUUGGGGGGUGAACAGCCACACCGGAACUGAGACACGGGCCAGACUCCUACGGGAGGCAGCAGUGGGGAAUAUUGGACAAUGGGCGCAAGCCUGAUCCAGCCAUACCGCGUGGGUGAAGAAGGCCUUCGGGUUGUAAAGCCCUUUUGUUGGGAAAGAAAAGCAGCAGGUUAAUACCCCGCUGUUCUGACGGUACCCAAAGAAUAAGCACCGGCUAACUUCGUG
rnacentral:rRNA from 1 species